rnacentral:lncRNA from 1 species
UGGUCUUAUCGAACCGAAUCGCCAUCGUGAACUGCUUCGCGGCCUUGGCGUAAUCCCCGGACGCGAACGCGGCGUUGCCCUUCUCCUUCGCCUCGACCGCCAUCUUCGCGAACUUCGCGUUCUUCGUCUCCUCGUCGUCGCUGCUGCUGCUACUGGUGCUGCCAUCGCCGUCGCUGUCGCUGUCGUCGUCCAAGUCGUCGUCCAAGUCGUCCGGCGACGCCGCGAGCGGCGGCGUCCGCGGAUUCGCGGGAGUCGCCGCCGCCCGCGCCGAAGCCGCGGGGCUCGUCCUCCGCGCGCUCGACCCCGCCCCCAGGUCGGCGGCGGCGCCGCCGCCGCCGCCUCGCGCGCCUGCUGAACCCCCCUCACGAUCGCCGACGCCGCUCGCGGCGAAACCGCACACCGCGGCGACUUCCGCGUGCGAAUGCCUCGCCGCCGCUUCCCCCGGGGUGUCUCCGGGUCGUUCCAUACAAAGCGAAGUUGGGGUGGAGUUGAAAGGCGUCAGUUGGAGUUGAAAGGGGUCGAGGUCGGGGAUUGAAAGCGAGGUGUGGGCGGAGAGAGACGCCGGGAAAAGUCCUUAAGGAUCGGCGUUCACCACGCCGACGGGGUCGUAUGGGAACCAGUGUAUAGAACGCACCUCCGUUUUCGUCGCGUCGGUUCGGAUCCGCGCCCGCGCGCGCCAACGACAAAACCGCCGCCAUCUGACCGUUACUCGCGGCCGCGUGCAGCGGCGUCGCGCCCUCCGCGUUCAAAGCGUUCGCGUCCGCGUCGACUUCGAACAACAGCCAGUCCACGACCGCGGACUCCCCGCGCGCGCACGCCCAGUGCAACGCCGUGUGUCCGACUCCCGCGCUGCGGUGAUACAAGAGCGUCGGCGUCUGUCCGAGCAUGCCGCGCAUCGUCCCGAUGUUACCCUCCUUCGCGGCGUCGAUCCACCGCUUCCCCUCCGCGCGGUCGAUAGACCCGGGAGGGGGUUGGCGCGACGUCGACGGCUUCGGGUUCCACGACGCGUGCGCGGCCGCGGACGGGACGGACGUCGUCGUCGUCGUCGUCGUCGUCGCGUCCCCAGCCCCGCCGGCGUCGGCGACCGCGGCGGCUCUCGCCUUCUUCGCCUUCUUCUUCUUCUCCUUCUUCUUCUGGUUCUUCGAGUGGUUCGCCCCGGGGGUCCCGCUCGGCGUCGGUUCAUCCUCCGAAUCGUCGCCGACGUCCACGGCGUCGCGAUCGACGACGAGCGUCGGCGGGGUCGCGCCGCCGGACUUCCCGCGGCGAAACGUCCCUCGCCCCCCGCCUUUGCCUCUCCUCCUCCCUCCGCCGCCGCCGCCGCCGCCGCCCAUGCCGAUCUGCUGCAUCAUAUCCACGAGAUCCGGCGGCAUCCCGUCCAUCAUCCCUCCGUCUCCUCCGUCCAUCCCCCCGUGGGCGCCCAUCUGCGACAACAUCGACAACAACGCGUCCGCCUCCUCGCCCGCGGCGCCGCCUUUCCCGGCGUCCUCCCGCAGCAUCUGCUCGAACAUCCCGGGGGGCAUCUGGGACAGCAUCGCCUCGAGGUCGUCGUCGUCCACGUCCUCGUCGUCCAGCCCCAGCCCGCCCAUCAUCCCGCCGGGGAAGCCGCCGCCGCGGAAGCCGCCGCGGCGGGUCCCCGCGCGUCCUCCCCGGCUCCGGCUGCCGCCUGCGUGGGUGAAGCGAUCGGUCAGUCGAAUGUCUUACCGGUCAAACGUUGAAAGGGAAGCGCGGGUGAAGAGUGAUGACGGGAAAAGUCCUUAAGGAACGGCGUUCACCACGCGAACGGGGUCGUAUGGGAAGCAGUCUCACCUCCCCGGCUCGACGACCCCCCGGGUUUGGGUCCCCCUGAUGUUCUGCCCGCGCUCGCGCUCUUCCUCCCUCCCGCCCGCGGCGGCAUCCGCGGCGUGCCCUCCGCCUCCUCCUCCUCUUCCUCCUCCCACUCGUCAGACGAGUCGUCAGAGAAGAACGCGCCCCCGCCCGCGCCGCCGCCGGCUGCGCCGCCGCCGCCGCCUCCGCUGAACAGCGCCGCCAGCGCCUCCGGGCCGCCGCUCUCGAGCAGCUCCUCCACCGCGGGGGGGACGUGAAAGUCGUCGCUGAACUUCAUCCCGGGAGGGAACGUCCCGGGGGGGAACAAGGCUUUUGGGAACGGGAACGGCGGCAUGCUCGCGAGGUCGUCCUCGUGGAGUCCCUCGAGCAUGUCCGCGAUCGUGCCUCCGCCGAGCAUCUCGCGCAUCAUCUCUUGAAACACGCUCACGAAGUCCUCCGCGCUGACGUCGAUCUCCUCCACGUCACCGGUGUCGUCGUAGUACUUCUUCUUCUUCGCGUCGCUCAGGAUGGCGUACGCCUUGCCGAUGUCCUUGAACGUCUCGGUCGCGACCUCGUCGCCGGGGUUCUUGUCGGGAUGGAAUCUGAGCGCGAGCGUGCGAUACGCCUUUUUUAUCGCGCCCGAGGACGCGUCUCGCGUCAGCCCGAGCGUGGCGUACAGGUCCACGGAGUCGCGCUCGUCCUCGGGGGCGGGCGACGGCGGGGCCAUGGGCGGCGGGCGCCGCCGCGCCUUGCCGCGGUCGCGCAUCGCCGCGCGCGCGCCGUCGCGAGUGCCAGCCAGAUCGCGCGCGAGAGAACACGCAAUAAGAUGAUGAAGCAGUCCGCGGUGCCUUUCGCGCCCAUCCCAGCCCGUUUAAAAUUGCUGUCGCGAACGGCGUUCGUCGCACUGACCGCCCGCGCCGCCCGUCCGAACGGAAACGCGCCAUGGACGUCAGCCCGGAGGCGCUCAGCGAGCUGAAACAGGCGCGCGUCCAUCGCGCGAACGUCGCCCGUCGCCGACGCGCCCGCGCGGAGCCGUCCGUCCGUCCGUCCGUCCGUUCGCACGCGCGGAGGCGCGCGUCGGCCGUUCGCGUCCCUUCCGCCCCCUCUCGUCAUCAUUCGCGAAUCUGAGACGCCCCCCCCCCCCAUGCCAUGCCUCGCCUCGCCCCUCCCGCGCACGCGCAGGCUCUGACGACGUCGCUCGAGCGCAAGGGCGUCCUCGCGAAGCUCAAAGCCGAGCUCCGCGCGCACGUGUUCGAGGCGGUUCGCUCGAAGGACGCGUCCGCGGACGACGACGCGAACGGACGUCGACAGAAGCAUCGUUCUCUGCCCAAGGCGAAGCUCCUGUCCGCGCUCGUGCUCGAGUACCUCGAGUGGAGCGGACUCUCGAGCUCGAGAAGCGUGUUCGCCGCGGAGUCGGGGGAGGAGGAGAACUACGAGGGGCGCGACGUCCUCGCCGCGAAGCUCGGGACGCGAGGGACAUCGAGCGAGCGACCGCUCCUCCUCGCCGUGCUAGAGAGUCACUUCGGGGUGGAAGAUCCCUUGGACGAGCUCCCAGCCCCCGGGGGCGCCGCGACGACGGGGCCGGGAGGAGGCGGCGUUCACGGCGGCGGCGCGCGGGCCCCGAGCAAGGUCGGGAAGCUCGCGCCGCUCGCGCCGUCCGUGAACCUCGGCGCGACGAUGGGCAAGCGCGGCGCCGCGGUGACACUUCCGCCCGCGUCGCCGUCGCCGAGGUCGUCCGGGGGUAACGUCCUCGUCUCGGACGACGAGUCGAUCGAGAUCGGCGAGGACCUGGACUACAGCGACCUCGGGCGCGACACCGGGAACCUCUCGCUCGACGGCGGCGGCGGGGAAAGUCCGUACGGCAGCGCGUACGGCGGCCUCGGGCGCGACACCGGCGUGUCGAUGGACGCCGGCGCGGGGGGCGCGUCGAUGUCGAUGGGGGGCGGGAACGGGAGCGUCGCGUUUCACGACGGACUGAGCGACCGGAGCGGCAGCAUCGACGGCGCGGACGACGGCAGCGUGGACCUCGUCGAGAGCGCGGUGCCGAGGAGCCCGACGCUGGGCGGGGGGGGGGUCUCGCCCAGGGGCGGCGGCGGACGCGGGAGGAGAUAGAAGAAGAGAGAGGUGGAGCGCAGCGUCUGGCGUAGAAGAGUCGUCGCGACUGGACGAAAGAAUGAUGAGAUCGCGACCAAAACUCGCGCGUCGUCGUCGUCGUCGUCGUCGUCGUCGUCGUCGUCGUCGUCGUCGUCGUCGUCGUCGUCGUCGUCGUCGUCGUCGUCGUCGUCGUCGUCGUCGUCGUCGUCGUCGUCGUCGUCGUCGUCGUCGUCGUCGUCGUCGUCGUCGUUCGUUUCGUUCGUCUUCACUUCACGAGUCGGCGUCCGACGCUAAGUUAGGAGAUAGUAUCAUAAAUCGCGAUCGAUCGAAUCGCUUCGAGUAAUAUAAUACCGCGGAGUAAUAUCGCUCGCUUUCGCUUUACUUCUUCUUCCCGAAGAGGCCGAAGAGGCCGCCGCCGCCCUCCUUCUUCGGGCGUCCCGCGAACGGAUCCUUGAUGCUCGGCGGCGCCGACUUCUUGAUGAGCUUGGAGCUCCCGCCGACGGUCUUGUUCAUGGCGUUGUACUUCGCCUGGUUCGCCUUGCGCGCGGCAGCCUUGCGCGCCUCCUCCGCCUUCUUCGCCUCCUUCGCCUUGACGGCAGCCGCCUUGGCCUGAUCGGCGAGCUUCUUCGCCUUGUCCUUCGCCGCCUGAGGGUGUUUGGCCGUACGAAGUUUUGACGACGUCGGGGUGGAGUCGAAAGGCGGCGUCAGUCGACAAGGUUGAAAGGCACGCGUCGCGUAGGUGUGUCGGGAUCGAAAGCGAGGGGCGACGGGCGGAGAGAUGCGCCGGCCGGGAGAGAAAGUCCUCGAGGAACCGCGCGCGCCGCGCCGACGCGGUCUUGUCGCGCGGGGACCGGCGCGGUCACGGGACGCGCCUGCGCCUUCUUGCGGUCCGCCUCUUGCUUCGCCUUCAUCGCCUUGCGACGCGCGUCCGUGUCGAUGGUGCGGCCGGCGCGGACGACGAACGCGGGCUUGACGUUCGCCUUGAACGCCUGGAGAAGAAGAGUGAACGGGAGGGCGGGGCCCACGGAGUGAUGAGCGAAAUGAAUGAUUGAAUCAACACGAGGAUGAUGGAUGCGUGACCGGACGGAUACGGACGCCGGCGCGCGUCUCCGGACGCGUCGCCGCCGCGGCCGUCGGCGCGAGCGAGAGGACGCGCCGCGCGCGAUGCCGAGACGUCGCCGCGGCGUCGAGGCGCGCGGCGCGACGCCUCCGGACGCGCGGGGGUCAGAGCGCGCGCGGCGGAUCCGCCGUCGUGUCCGUCCGCCGCGGUUCCGUGCCCCGCGGCUGCGAGAAGCCUUUAUCGAUCGAUCGAGCGACGCGCGCGGGUCCGGGCGCGAGACGACGACGUACCGUCUGCUUGAGAGCAGCCGGCGCCGCGAUCUUGGAGGUGAGAGACGUGGCGUACAUGGCGUUGAGCGUGCGGUGGGUUGUGCCGGCCGCGCGCCUCGCGCGCGAUCGCGCGACGCGUCGAGCCGCGCGGUCAGUCACCGAAACGCCUCGCAGGGCACCGCGCGCGUUUCUGAUUGGCGGAGAAUGGGGACGGGAAUCAGUGCCGAUUUUCGUGGCGACGGAGAAAGCAGACUGAGUCAGCAGUGGCGACGGAGACGUAUCGCGUACUACGGCGAAAACUACUCGCGCUCGGCCGUCUCGACGGCCGUCGUUUGGCGUUCGAUCGGCGACGUCGGCGCGUUCACCCCGGGAUGUUGAUCGCGGUUUGCGAUCGCGAGCUUCCUUUCAAAAACCAAACGCGCCCCAGGCAGGGCGACGCAAGAGAGAAAGCGCCUUCCGUCGUCGUCUCGUCACCAGUCGACGCCCUCCAUGUCCGCCGCGAGGGUCGUCCUCACCGCCGCGCGUCCCACCGCGACGAUGCGCGCGACGAAGACGACGGCCGCCGCCGCCGCCGCGGCGGCGGCGUCUUCCUCCGGCGCCGGCGCGCCCGUCCCGUUCGCGCGCGUCCCCGCGCCGUGGUCGGCGUCCGGGGCGUCCGCGUCCGACGCCGCGACGCCGACGCCGACGCCCGCGCCGCGCGUCGUCAAGGUCGCGCUCUGCCAGCUCGCGUGUCCCACCGCGGACAAGGUGGCGAACAUCGCGCGCGCGAGGGAGGCGAUACGAAACGCCGCGGAGGGCGGCGCCGCGCUCGUCGUCCUCCCGGAGAUGUGGUGCGGUGCAUUCAUCAUCAUCACAUCACACUGGUCCCCCAUACGACCGCGUCGGCGAGGUGGACGCCGUUCCUUAAGGACUCGAGGACUUCCCGGCGUCUCUCGGUUUCAACCCCCGCCCACGACGCCUUUCACCAAGACUCCACCCCUGACGCGCCUUUCGACUGACUCCGCCCCGACCCUAAGGAACUGCCCGUACGCGAACGAAUCCUUCCCCGCGCACGCCGAGACGAUCGGCGCGUCCAUCGCGGACUGGCCCAGCGGCGCGGAGAGGGCUACUACUGAAAAAAGUAACGACCCGACGCCGUCGGUUACGAUGCUCUCCGAGGCCGCGGCGGCGCACGACAUCGUCCUCGUCGGCGGCAGCAUCCCAGAGCGCGGCGUCGGCGUCGGCGGCGGCGGCGGCGCGGACGAGGAGGACGUCCUCUACAACGCCUGCUGCGUCUUCGACGGAAAACGGGGGCUGAUCGCACGACACCGAAAGACGCACCUGUUCGACGUGGACAUCCCGGGGGAGAUAUCGUUCAGGGAGAGCGACACGUUGACCGAGGGCGAGGGGCUCACCGUGGUCGACACCGCGGUCGGGAGGGUGGGGGUGGGGAUAUGCUUCGACGUGCGGUUCGGAGAGAUGGCAGCCGCGAUGGCGAAUCGAGGCGCCGACGGUGCGUCUGUUUACGACUUGAUGAGCUCAUUCGGUUUCGCGGUCAAACCGCUCGGUUUCGAGUUCGUUCGGUCCCUCCCGCGCCUCCGCCGCGCGACCGACCCCAUCUUCUCACCGACCGACCGACACUACGCCGACAGUCCUGAUCUACCCUGGCGCGUUCAACACCGUCACGGGACCGCAUCACUGGGAACUCCUGCAACGCGCGCGCGCCGUCGACAAUCAGGCGCGUUCUAUACACUGGUCCCCAUACGACCGCGUUGGCGUGGUGAACGCCGAUCCUUAAGGACUUUCGCUGUCGUCUCUCUCCGCCCAUCCAAUGCGUUCAAUCCCCGCCCUCGACGCCUUUGAACUCCAACUGACGCCUAUGAACUCCACCCCGACAUGGCUUUGUAUGGAAUGGCCCUCAGUGCUUCGUCCUGACGUGCUCGCCCGCGAGGAACACCACGGGGGAGGGGUACCAAGCCUGGGGGCACAGCACCGCGGUCGGGCCGUUCGCGGAGGUGCUCGCGACGACGGACGAGCGCCCGGGGAUCGUCUUCGCGGACUUGGAUCUCGGAGAGGUGACGCGGCGGCGGCGGAACAUGCCGCUGGCGACGCAGCGACGCGGGGAUCUGUACGCGCUUCACGACCUCGGCGCCGUGCGCGGGGAUGCGUAGGUAGGGUACCUGGAAGGGAUAGUGGGGUCGACGAGUACACGUGUGCACAGUGCGUGUACUUCAAAACAAAACAACUCGGCAACUCGAUGAGCUACAGUAGUCACUCCGCCGGCGCGCGCGUCCCUCCGUCGUCGUCGAAGUCGUCCGUGAGCUUGAUUAUCUCGAACUCCGCGGCGUCGUCGGCACUGAACGCGAAAUCCAACGCCUCGACGACCGUGUUCAUCGAGACCGCGAGCGCGAGCACGAACAGCACGUACGCGCUGUCGUUGACCUUGCCGUAGUACAUCUCGACGAAGCCGUUCUGAGAGUAGAAGAAAAAGUACGACGCGUAGUACAGCGACUUGGAUGCGACGUCGAACUGUCCGAACAUCCUCGCGGCGGCGAACACCGCGAGCAUGACGCCCGCGCACGCGUGCGCGACGACGCCUAACCGGUUCGGCUGCUCGUGCAACAGCACGAAUAUCCCGAACCCGAUCCCCAUCAGCGACAGGGUGAACUUCGACCGGUGAACGACGACGUCGACCCCGAUGGCGAUGAACAAGACGUUGACGGCGACGUGCUGUUGCUCGCGAAGCGACGUGCACGCGAAGUCGAGGUGGCACUUAGAAAACAACAAGUCGUAGAGGACGUAGAAGCCGCCGCCGAGGAUGGCGACCCAGCCUUGCGCGACGACCGUGUUCGGGCCUGGGGAUGGAAUCGUUCGGCGUCAGCGGGGACGGGGACGGGGACGACGGCCGGCCGGCCGGGGGAAGGACGUGACGUAGGCCCGUUGCAUUGCCGCAACCAAAACCGAAUUUUAACCGACCGAAAGAAGUCGUCGGUUACUCUCGGACGAGUCGACCGGGGAUUCGAUUCGACGCCGCGCCGCGCGCCUCCGCGACGCGCGCGUCGACGCGACGCGACGCACCCGGGUACCGCUCGAGCUCGCUGAAGAUGUACAUCACCGCCGCGGGCCCCAAGUGCCCCAGGUACGUGUUCCAGUGCGUCGGUAGCACGCCCGCGGCGAGGCAGAUGACAGAUCCUAGGAUCGCGUGACACGCGCCGAGCGUCGCGCGAAUGCGCCGCCCGCAGCACGGCGAGGAGAUCCCCCGCGAGCGCGUCGCGCCGUGGCCGUUCAGGACGCCGUAUCCGCGUGAGGAACGCGCCAUCUCGCUCGGUCUGCGGUCGCGACGCGCGGGCGCGGAGUGGCGUCCCCGAAACAUCGUUCGACUUCGUCCGAACCCGCCCGAACCGCGGUUCGUCGUCUUCUCGUACGUACGUGUACUUUAUACGAGCAAUUUCCCUGAGCGCGACUCGUCUACCGCGACGAAACUCCCAACUAAUCUGCGGUGCGGCUGCGGCACUACGUGUGACACACCGAAGCGCGCGCGGCGCGGCGCGGCGCGAAGACGAUCCGAUGGGUCUGGACGGCGGGACGGUCAUCUCGCGCACGGACGUCCUCCGCGGCGCGUCGUGGGACCUCGCGCAGGCGGACGCGUCCACGUCCACGCGCGGCGGGCAGCUCAGCUCGCAUCGGCGGCACGGCGCCUCGCGCGCGCUGCCGCCGUCGGUCGUCCGCGAGACGCGAUGGCGCGUUUGCGCGCUCUCUGGCGCGCCGCUGUCUCCCGCGCGCGGCGUCGUCGCGUGCGCGCUCGGGAGGCUGUACGACCGCGAGACCGCGCUGACGCACGUUUUGACGAGGCACGGCGUGUUCACGUCCGAGGAGGCGACGUACGCGUACGCGAACCGGCUCAACAGCUCGGGCGCGAUCGGCGACGCGUCGCAUCUCCGCGCGCGCUCGGACUUUUUCGAGGUGCGCCUCGCGAGAGCCGCGGACGCGACGGAGGAGACGCCCGAGUUUGAGUGCCCGGCGACGGGCGCGCGGUGCGGGCGCUCGGCGGUCGCGUUCGUCGCGCUGCGGCCGUGCGGGCACGUGGUGUCGGAGAAGGCGGCGAGAGAGGCGGCGAAGGCGGCGGCGGUGGGGGGAGGAGGAGGAGGAGGAGGAGAAUCAGAAUCGCCGCCGACGCCGCCGACGUGCCCGGCGUGCGAGGUGCCCUUCGACCCGGCGCACUCGCUCCCGAUCCACGGCACGGAGGCGCAGGUGGAGAAGCUCCGCGACGCGAUGGACCGACGGCACGCGGCGGAGGACGACGCGAAGGCGCGGAGGAAGGGCAGGCGCGAGGCUAAGAGACGCAAACGGACGACGGAGUCGGAGAGCGCGUGCGGCUGAACGAUCUGAGGCGCGUUCUAUACGAACGAUGAUAUCGGGGUGGAGUUCAAAGGCGUUAGGUGGAGUUGAAAGGCGCCGAGGGCGGGGAUUGAACGCGAGGGACCCUGGGCGGAGAGAAACGACGGGAAAAGUCCUUAAGGAACGGCGUUCACCACGGCGACGGGGUCGUAUGGGGACCAGUGUAUAGAACGCGCCUACUGAUGAGAGAACG